UUUCGAUGGAUGUUGUUUUAAGUUACAUAGUUGGAAUAUAGUUUGUUUUAUAGAAUAUUGAAAAUGCCACAAAACAAAUCCCUAGCUCUAAAACUUCCGUGCUUAAAACUAAACACUCUUCUGAAGGAGUUCUGGCCAAUUUAAGAUGAAAACUCUACCAUUUCCAGAAAAGACGUAUGAUGGUUGGUGAGAACCAGGAAGUAAUUUGGGUCAUAAUAUGAGGUCAUAAGUGAUUGGAAGCCCAGUGGUUACCAGCAAAGGACAGCAAUAGAAAGUACCCCACAACUGGCCUAAAAAUGCUCACUGUUCUUUAUACCAGCACAAAUCGUAAGUCAGACGCACAAAUAUACUUUCAUACCUGGCAAAGAGUAAGUACUAGAGAUUCCAUAAAUGUUUGUUGUGGGAAUUGACUGAAUCCAGAAUCAGCAAGGCUUGACAGUAUUUCUUACAGUACCACCAGUGGUGGUUUAUUAAUGAACCUGCAGUUGGUUUUGUGAUGUAGAUCUGGACUCUGCCUCCCUCUGAGGCAUUUUAGUCAUAAGGAUCAAAGGUUGGAGAGUUGAAGCCACCCUGCUGGACUCCGCAGAGCAACUUUCUAAGGAUUUGGCUGGGAGUCACAUGUCUCAUGAGGUAACCCAGGCCUCUGUGGCUGCCGUGAACAUCUUGACUUGAAGUCCUGAGGAUCAGACCCAGGGCCUGGAAGGUGCUUUGACAUUGAACAAGAUCUCCUGGUCAACCAGGGACUGUGGCAGUUCCAAGAGAAAAUCAGUUGCCAACACCAGUAUUGAGCCUGUGAUCCUAGAACAUUGUGUGAUGGUAUCAAACUAUAAGAAGCAGGAGAAUUCAAUGCUGAACUUCCAGGCCAUGUUGAUGAUAGAUGUCACUGGAAAAAAUGAAAGUGCAUGGUGGCUUAUAAGUACCCCUGAAGAGCAAGGCUGACCAUCUACCUGGAGGCCCAGAAUAAUAUACAAGAUUACUUGGAUUUGAAGGUCUCUGGAAAGUCCUAAAGAAGAGACAUACGUAAUCACAAAGUCCUACACCAGCCAAAGUGGGGCAAGAUUGGCUUUGAGAAUGGUGUCAAUGUAGAGACUGUCCAACAGCAUUUAGAGGGUUGAUAGUAAAAUCAGAUACCUGGGCAAAGAGGUCUGACUACCAGUACCCUACCUAAAUAAUGCCAAAGAUGACCUUCCAACCUGGAAGAAGAAUCUGGCAGGUCAGUGGCAAUCAUUUGGAACCUCAUGGACAUCAGCAACCUGCUGGACAAGAAGGCAUCUGGAGACAAGAAGACUUUGCUUCUUCAGGAGGACUCCAAAUUCUUCAUCACCAACAUCAGUUCACUCAUUCUCCACAACACCUUCUAUGGUAGGUUCUGGGCUCCCUGAGGGACCAUUUCCAAGUUGGCCCAAAGCUCUCCAGUCAUAUGCAGGAUUGCCCCUCAAAGGGACCAGAUCAGCCACCCAAACCUAAGGAUAAGAACUUUAUCACUGAAAGAAUCCAGGGUUCCAACUGCCAAAUCCACUAGAGUCUAUCUGUUGAGGUGGAGGGCUACAAAACUGUUGAAUUUCAGUCUUUCACUUUUGAUGGGAUCAGCUUUUAAGGUAGACUUAAGGCAAAGGUAACUGAUGAGAAUUCAGAUGGCUACUGGUACAUGUAGAUUAGUGAGAAGGGUUGAGUCUCAUACCAAGGAUUAAUAAGUACAAUAAGCUCAACCUGACCUGCUGCACAAGCACACAGACCCAACCCAAGGUCCUAAUCCCCAGCUGGCAGAGGCUGGAGAAUGUGGGGUACAGUUGGUCUGCCCUGUCCCAUAGCCCUGACCUCCCGCCUCCUUUCAGCAUCCUACGUCAAGGUGAGGGAGUCUUGAGAGGACAUGGCCUUGGAAGAGAUCAUCUAUGAGAAUGAAUGCUCCAGGCACUCACUUUUUUGGCCAGAGGCUUCCUCAGGGACAGUGAUUCCACAAGGGGAUCCUCACUGUUCCUUACUGGAACAAAUUCUGCCAACUCAGAUUCCACCAAGUCAUUGUCAGUUCCAAAGCUCAAGGCAGAGAAGAACAUCCAGACAGAAAUGGAGAAGAACCUCACCUCAGCCUCCUUUUCCUCAUCCACUACUAUCAACACCAUUUGCACCCCCAAUUUUCUCCUUCCUAUUCAAGAACAGGACAACUGGAAGCCCUGCUUUGUAUUGGACACAGAUAUCCACCAUACUCCUAAGGUCAGUCCCAAGAAGGAUGCUGACAUGAAGGCUGAACUGAUGUCCGGGAUCCCAAGCCAACCAAUGGCCUGAUACAAACUUCCUGAACUGAACAGAGUCAAGAAAAAAAUGGACAUCUGCACUUUGUUGCACCAGCUGAGACCCAUGAACCAGCUGGGGGUGAGAGAUGUGGAAGUGAUUAAUGAUUCUAGCAAUGGGAAUUCAGAGCUUCCCUCCUUGCUUCCUCCAAGAUGCCUAAGAGGAGCCCAGCAGAAGGUCAGUCAACAUCAUCAUUCUCCUGGCUACCAGUCUUGUGCCCUCCCAAGAAGGAGUGGUAGGACUAGGGUGCCUUGUAUAAGACACGCUGUACUUAUCUGAAGGUCCAGGACUUGGAGAUCAUCUUCACCACAGGUGCAGAGAUGCAAGUGCUAGAGAAGCUGGAAAAAUGGAAGAGAGAUCUGGGGAGCAAGAGAGGUUGGCCCCUGCCCACUAACUGGUACCUAAUAAGAACAAGUAAUCUGACCACUCUAGCAAAGAGGCAGACACAGUGAAAAAGCAGACAUAGUAAACAGCAGGCAGAACAAGGGCAGAUCAGACAGCCUAGAAAAAAAUCAAGAAGCCAGUACAAGCACUGAACACCAUCAACCAGAACAAGAGGGCGGUGCUCCCCUCAGGACCUCAGCAAACCCCAAACACCACAGUAGUGAAAAUAAGAAACAGCAUACAACGGGCAGCACUGGCCCUGCCAGUCAAGGACAACCACUUAUCCUAUAUCCUGUGGAGGAAUAAGUCACUCACUACCACCAACAGCCUCGACAGCAUCUGCUGGAGCUAAUUCCUCUUUCAGCCCAGUGUGCUCAGUGGCCACUGGUGCCAAGGCUGAUAUGGGCACAGCAGGCCUCUGGUCAGGGAUUAGAUUCACCACUGCUGUCCACAUAGUACAACAGCACAUGCAUAAUAUCACAUGGGAUCCAUGCCCUUCAAGAAGUCCCUAGUUCAGGCACUUAUUAAUAACCUCAAGGAAAUGUAUAUCUGUAUCACAAACUAUGAAGAGGAAGAGGAGAUGGAGACCUUUCAGAAGGGGUGUCCGUGGAAGUGCUGGAAACAAACCCUAAUGACUAGUGGUACUGCCAGGUCCUGAAUGAGGUACAACCUGAGUGCCCUCCCAUUACUUUGAGAAAAAGAACUAAUGGAGGACGUGGGUCACUCCAGCCACAAUGUGUUGCAAUAGCCACUGUUAGAUGAGCAGUGACAUGCAGACCAAAUGAAGAAGGAGGAAAUAGGAGACAACACUAAAUCCUGCUGAGUGUGUUACCUCAAAUGUGUCCUUCAUUUUUGGCUUUUCCCAGUUGGGAGGGUAUGAUGGGAGCCCACGCUGAGUAAGGAAGGGAUGGUAAGAGACUCACAGAUGGGAAAUCUGGGACCCAUGUGUGCACCUUGGUGACUAUGCUGAUAGUCCAUGUACCAUUUGGGAAAGGCCAUCUGGGAAACAUCAAUCACAUCUUCACUGAAAAUCUGGAAAAGAUGUGGUCAUAAAAGACCUGCAUUAUCUUAAUCCUGCUUGACUGUUCUUGUGGCUGGCAUCUUGCCACUGAAGAUAGCCCUCCUAGUGUCCUAAUUUGUAUCUGUAAAUUGUGCUGGUUUCUCAGGGAGGCCACCAGCUGCCAUAGUGGGAGGUACAUGAUUGGGGGUUAUUUUAGAAGUUGUUUGAGAGCCUACUGAUGUCAACCUCACCGUGGAAAAAGAAAGUUUGUGGGAAGGGCUUUUCCAGUGAACUUUGGGGAAGGAUGUUUUGUUUUGGCUUUGGUUUCUAUUCUUUCCUCUUCAUAAGUCAAGUAGUUUCAUUUUGUUUCCAUUGUUUGGACAAUGCUUGACAAAAUGCCAUAUGUAGGAUCUGUGGAAAAGCAGCCACAGCACUCAUCAAGGGUGGAUGAGACCCCAACUGAGCCCCUGGCUCAGACUGGAGCAGAAAUAAUUAGCCACCCUCAGUUCCCUGCUGGCAAUGCUACAGGUGCCCAAGAAGAUGGAGGACCCCUGUACCAGAAGCCAGCAUGAUUUCCAAUGAACACUGCCUUGGUGAAGCAACAACUCAAUAAGAACUUUUUUAUAUACUGUCUAUUAACUUUGGGUUUUAUUCUUCAGCAGUUGAUAUUUCAGCAAGUACUCUCCAGAAAGAAGCAUGAAUAGCUUCCCCAGGGAUUCACUUUAUUUACUUUUUAUCUAUACUUUAUGACUUUGUUUAAAAUUGAAAUUAGCACAGUAAUUUUCUUCUGCUACACAAUAUUAAAAGCAGCAAGUUUGGAGUUCAUUGUCUAGACCAAUGUACUCAAAAAGAGAAACUCUGGAAGCAAAAUGAAAAAUAUAUUAGACAAACAAAAGCACAUAGAAUUUAUAGUCAAAAGAUAUAGCCUGCAUGAGGUAUUCAAAGAAGUUUUCUGCCAACAGAAAAAAAAGAAUAGAACUAGAAUAAUUUUUCAAAUGGAACUAUACAGAAAAUAAUUAGAAGAAUAAGGCUUUGCUACCUUGAAGAAAUGAAUAAUCAGUUCUGAUUUACUAAUUAUUGUUUAUAGUUGUCAACCAACUAUCAAAAAGGAUGUGCUAUCCAAGGUAUAUUUUUGUUUGCCUCUUAGUAUUAGUUUAUAAACUUUGAUAUUUUAAUUUGUUAAUUGUGCAUUUUUGAUGGAUAAUAAUGGGCACUUGAACACAAAAUUAAUAGGGUUAAAACAUUCUCUGUGUAAUAAAGUGUUUAUUAUUUUA